GACGAACGCUGGCGGCGUGCUUAACACAUGCAAGUCGAACGAUGAACUGGGUGCUUGCACCUGGGGAUUAGUGGCGAACGGGUGAGUAACACGUGAGUAACCUGCCCUGGACUCUGGGAUAACCCCGAGAAAUCGGAGCUAAUACCGGAUAGGACCUUGCACCGCAUGGUGUGGGGUGGAAAGUUUUUCGGUCUGGGAUGGACUCGCGGCCUAUCAGCUUGUUGGUGAGGUAAUGGCUCACCAAGGCGUCGACGGGUAGCCGGCCUGGGAGGGUGACCGGCCACACUGGGACUGAGACACGGCCCAGACUCCUACGGGAGGCAGCAGUGGGGAAUAUUGCACAAUGGGCGCAAGCCUGAUGCAGCAACGCCGCGUGCGGGAUGACGGCCUUCGGGUUGUAAACCGCUUUUAGUAAGGAAGAAGGGGAGCUUGCUCCUUGACGGUACUUGCAGAAAAAGGACCGGCUAACUACGUGCCAGCAGCCGCAGUAACAC
rnacentral:rRNA from 1 species